UUCAGGAUUAUUCUUCAUUUACAUUCGAUCGAUACAUAAAAACAGUUUCAUAUUGCAUCAUUACGAUCUGAGCGAGGUCACAUGACUGCAGUGUGAUGACAUCAUUACGAUCUGAGCGAGGUCACAUGACUGCAGUGUGAUGACAUCAUGGCCCCUGAGCGAGGUCACAUGACUGCAGUGUGAUGACAUCAUUACGAUCUGAGCAAAGUCACAUGACUGCAGUGUGAUGACAUCAUGGCCUCUGAGCGAGGUCACAUGACUGCAGUGUGAUGACAUCAUUAAGAUCUGAGCGAGGUCACAUGACUGCAGUGUGAUGACAUCAUUACGAUCUGAGCGAGCUCACAUGACUGCAGUGUGAUGACAUCACUAAGAUCUGAGCGAGGUCACAUGACUGCAGUGUGAUGACAUCAUUACGAUCUGAGCGAGGUCACAUGACUGCAGUGUGAUGACAUCAUUACGAUCUGAGCGAGGUCACAUGACUGCAGUGUGAUGACAUCAUGGCCUCUGAGUGAAGUCACAUGACUGCAGUGUGAUGACAUCAUUACGAUCUGAGCGAGGUCACAUGACUGCAGUGUGAUGACAUCAUUAAGAUCUGAGCGAGGUCACAUGACUGCAGUGUGAUGACAUCAUUACGAUCUGAGCGAGCUCACAUGACUGCAGUGUGAUGACAUCAUUAAGAUCUGAGCGAGGUCACAUGACUGCAGUGUGAUGACAUCAUUACGAUCUGAGCGAGGUCACAUGACUGCAGUGUGAUGACAUCAUUACGAUCUGAGCGAGGUCACAUGACUGCAGUGUGAUGACAUCAUGGCCUCUGAGUGAAGUCACAUGACUGCAGUGUGAUGACAUCAUUACGAUCUGAGCGAGGUCACAUGACUGCAGUGUGAUGACAUCAUGGCCGCUGAUUGUUGAGUUACAUUCAGUUACAAAGAUAUAAAAAAGAUAAUGAAUUAUACAUCCUCUGCUUCUCUACACGAUUACAAAUGAUCUGAAUUCAUUAGCAUAAUGCCACGUGAUUGGUUGUUUCAUUAAGCAUGAAAUGAAUCUUGGGUAAUGUAGUACAGUGAUAUGAGGGGUGGGAGGCGGGGGGUAUAGGGGGGGGUGUAGAGUUUCCCUCUGAGACUGUUCGUUUUAAUCCUCUACGUCAGGGAGGAGCUGCAGCAUCCGCGCCCUGCUGUUGGCUGCUGCAGCUGUCAAUCAGAGAGAAGGGGGCGGGGUUUGAUGACAUCACAGCGGCUGGUUGCUGGUGAUGUCACUCCUCUGAGUUGUACAGGCGGUACAUCAGCAUGACGAUGCAGGCAGCCAGCGCGGGAAUCAACCAGUUAGUCCACCAGCUGCAAGAGACACAGAUAACCAGUUAAACUAGUUAAACCAACAGACAGCUAGUUAACUGCCUA